UACGGAGGGUGCGAGCGUUGUCCGGAAUCACUGGGCGUAAAGGGCGCGUAGGCGGCCGUGUAAGUCACUUGUGAAAUCCCGGGGCUCAACUCCGGGGCUGCAGGUGAGACUGCGUAGCUAGAGCACGGUAGAGGCGAGUGGAAUUCCCGGUGUAGCGGUGGAAUGCGUAGAUAUCGGGAAGAACACCGGUGGCGAAGGCGGCUCGCUGGGCCGUUGCUGACGCUGAGGCGCGAAAGCGUGGGGAGCAAACAGG
rnacentral:rRNA from 1 species